AUUGAACGCUGGCGGCAGGCCUAACACAUGCAAGUCGAGCGGUAACACAGAGGAGCUUGCUCCUUGGGUGACGAGCGGCGGACGGGUGAGUAAUGCCUGGGGAUCUGCCCGAUAGAGGGGGAUAACUGCGGGAAACUGUAGCUAAUACCGCAUAAUGUCUACGGACCAAAGUGGGGGCUCUUCGGACCUCAUGCUAUCGGAUGAACCCAGGUGGGAUUAGCUAGUUGGUGAGGUAAUGGCUCACCAAGGCGACGAUCUCUAACUGGUUUGAGAGAAUGACCAGUCCCACUGGAACUGAGACACGGUCCAGACUCCUACGGGAGGCAGCAGUGGGGAAUAUUGCACAAUGGGCGCAAGCCUGAUGCAGCCAUGCCGCGUGUGUGGAGAAGGCCUUCGGGUUGUAAAGCACUUUCAGCGGGGAGGAAGGGUCACUAGUUAAUACCUAGUGGCAUUGACGUUACUCGCAGAAGAAGCACCGGCUAACUCCGUGCCAGCAGCCGCGGUAAUAC
rnacentral:rRNA from 1 species